rnacentral:lncRNA from 1 species
UUUUUUUAAAUUAUGAUUUUCAAUGGUUCAUAAAAAGAGUGCAAGGUCAGAUGAACCAUGACAUACAGAUCUCUACAAAUAUCCCGUAGACCAAAUAAAUGUGUUCCGAUCGUUACAGUGCCUUAGAAACUGACAAAAGUUAUGCUUGGCAAAUUAAUUCGAAACAUAAGGUCAAAAGUAUAUGAACCCUGACCGACAGCCAGACAUAGACAUCUUGCUAUUAUUCAAUAUAUCAAAUACAAUUG